rnacentral:rRNA from 1 species
UGGCGUAUCAGUUGGUUGGUGGGGUAAAGGCCUACCAAGGCUGUGACGCGUAGCCGGUCUGAGAGGAUGAUCGGCCACACCGGAACUGAGACACUGUCCGGACACCUACGGGUGGCUGCAGUCGAGAAUCUUCGGCAAUGGGCGCAAGCCUGACCGAGCGACGCCGCGUGCGGGAGGAAGGCCCUCGGGUCGUAAACCGCUGUCAGGGGGUAUGAAAACUGACGUCAACCCCAAAGGAAGCCCUGGCUAAACUCGUGCCAGCAGCCGCGGUAAUACGAGUGGGGCAAACGUUGUUCGGAAUUACUGGGCGUAAAGGGCGUGUAGGCGGCCUAUUAAGUCCAAGUUGAAAUCCCGCGGCUCAACCGCGGAACUGGCUUGGAUACUGGUGGGCUUGAGCGCAGCAGGGGGAUGUGGAACGACUGGUGGAGCGGUGAAAUGCGUAGAUAUCAGUCGGAACACCGGUGGCGAAGGCGACAUCCUGGGCUGUAGCUGACGCUGAGGCGCGAAAGCGUGGGGAGCAAACAGGAUUAGAUGCCCUGGUAGUCCACGCCGUANACGAUGGUCACUAGGAGGGGGCCCUGCUCCAGGGUUCCGUCCGUAGCUAACGCGUUAAGUGACCCGCCUGGGGAGUACGCUCGCAAGGGUAAAACUCAAAGGAAUUGACGGGGGCUCACACAAAGCGGUGGAGCAUGUGGUUUAAUUCGAAGCAACGCGAAGAACCUUACCCCGGGUUUGACAUGUGCGCCAGCGCUAGGGAAUAAGUGCCCGAAAGGGGUGGGCGACAGGGAUUCCAGUCCUUG